UCCAUCAACAGUCUUGCAUCU
rnacentral:piRNA from 1 species